rnacentral:rRNA from 1 species
AUUGAACGCUGGCGGCAGGCUUAACACAUGCAAGUCGAGCGGGGUGAUGGUGCUUGCACUAUCACUUAGCGGCGGACGGGUGAGUAAUGCUUAGGAAUCUGCCUAUUAGUGGGGGACAACAUCUCGAAAGGGAUGCUAAUACCGCAUACGUCCUACGGGAGAAAGCAGGGGAUCACUUGUGACCUUGCGCUAAUAGAUGAGCCUAAGUCGGAUUAGCUAGUUGGUGGGGUAAAGGCCUACCAAGGCGACGAUCUGUAGCGGGUCUGAGAGGAUGAUCGGGCACACGGGGACGGAGACACGGCCCAGACUCCGACGGGAGGCAGCAGUGGGGAAUAUUGGACAAUGGGGGGAACCCUGAUCCAGCCAUGCCGCGUGUGUGAAGAAGGCCUUAUGGUUGUAAAGCACUUUAAGCGAGGAGGAGGCUACUCUAGUUAAUACCUAGGGAUAGUGGACGUUACUCGCAGAAUAAGCACCGGCUAACUCUGUGCCAGCAGCCGCGGUAA